CCCAUUUGUUUAUCAUUCAUAAAUUCUUUAAUACUCCAUUUGAUAAAUUACGACGAGACCGUAAAUAAAAACAGAAACCAGAAUUUAAGAAAUUUCAAAUUGAAAAUGCGGUUGCACGAGAUUCAUGUGCCUGCUUUAUUUAAUUCUAUUUACAUUCAAAUUGUUUAGUUAUCAAGUUCGCGUCCAACACAUAAUUAAUAUAUAAACAUUAAAAUAUCACCAUACCC
rnacentral:lncRNA from 1 species